AUGGCCGUUGCGCAAAGGCUCCUCGUCAGUAUGUCCUGCGAGGCCGGCACGCCGCACUGGACGCUGACCGCGGUGGUUCUCCUGGGCUUUCUGCUGGGGAUCGUGUCAGCGUACCCCUUACCGAGCGGCAGGACGAAUGCAACUUUACUGGAGAAAAGAUGGGAGACCCUCUUCUCUCGCUCUGUGCUGGGGAUCUCCGGAGAGAAACCGGAGCAGAACUGGGAGAGUGAAUAUCUGCUGGGCAUCAAAAGAGUGCGGAGGCUCUACUGCAACGUGGGCAUCGGGUUUCACCUUCAGAUCCUCCCCGACGGCAGGAUAAACGGUGCACAUAAUGAAAACCAGUACAGUCUAAUAGAGAUCUCCACGGUGGAGAGAGGGGUGGUGAGCCUAUACGGGGUGAAGAGUGAGCUGUUUGUCGCAAUGAACAGCAGAGGAAGGUUAUACGGAACGACAGUCUUCCAUGACGAGUGUAAGUUCAAGGAGAGCUUGCUCCCAAACAACUACAACGCCUACGAGUCUCUGGUUUACAGAGGCUCCUACAUAGCACUCAGCAAGCAUGGCCGCGUGAAGAAGGGCAACAAGGCCACCACUGCCAUGACUGUGACGCACUUCUUACCCCGAAUAUGAUGAGCGAAAAAAAAACUGGCAAUGACAAACUUAUUUGCACAUGUGGAUUAUUUCCCAGUUCAAGCAUUAUCUCCAUCCCUUCCUCUCUGCUGCAGUCUCUGAAAUCAAAGUAGCUGCCCAAAGCACGGUAUCCCCAAUUGAUCAUGCAACCGGCUUCCUUCCUACUCAUGCUCAUUGCUGUGUCUGUCGUGGUGGAUUGUGCUCCGAGGCUCCGGGAUCCAGAGUGGCUUUCACAACAUCAGCCGAGC